ensembl:lncRNA
CUGUGUGUAUUUAAAUUAGUAAAUUGUUCUACUAGGAAAGACUCGGAAGACAUGUGCGGCUGUGUCACGCGCAUGCGCAGUGCGCGAGAAGUGUCAGCCGGAUGAGACGUGCAUUAAACAGCUACAAUUUCGGGAAGGAACUGAAACCUGUCUAACGCGCGCGCUGUUCCACACACAGCAUGGAGAUCUGAUCCGGUUCUCACUUCCGGUCCAGUGCAGAAGUUAUUAAACUUGUGGGAUAUCAUGUGAGAGUUAAGAGUUUAUUCAGGGUUUUUUUUUUUAAAUAAAUGAUUGAAAAUGAUCUUUGAGGAACUGAAGUGAGCAGACAGAAAUAAUAAACGCGGCGAACCCGAGUGAACAUGAGUGCUGAAAAGAUCAGAAAAGAUCAGAACGGGUGAAAGGAGAACUUUACACACCCUACACGUUGGCAAAAAGAGAGCAGCGAGUGGUCCCCGCUGUUGCCAUGACAACACACGCAAACCGGUUGCGAUGGAGAGCCGAGGUUGAGCGCAGGAACAACAUCCGCCCGCGACUUUAAAUAAAUCACAAAACAUAAAAAAGCAAAAGACAAACAAUCAGACUGGAGCUUCACCUCACAGUAAAAAGGCCUUUACAGUUUUUGUUCCAAAUCCUGAGAAAAGGAAAGAAAUUCUGAAAAGGUUCUACAUGAAGCUGUCUCUGAAAGAAAACACUCCGCUGUAGAGUAUGUUAAAGGGUUCGCCCAGGGGCACAGGGCACUUUAGGGUACUACAGGGAACUCUGAUAACAGAUCUACUCCGACGUGUGAGACGUGCAGUGAGUUAUGUCUCCACUACACCCAGUCCUGUGGUAGGGAGUCGACAUGAACAGACUACAGGACGACUAAAACCGGUGGAACCAGAUGGACUCUAUUAUUAUUACUCCUACUUCAGCUACUCGGAGCUCAGCCACAUGUUUCCUGAUUUAUUUCCUCAUCUGGAAAAAAAUGCAAAUCUCCUCCUGAAUGUUAGAAUAAACACAAGUAAAGAAUUCAGUUCAUUACAUUUGCAUUCAGCUUCUUCAUGUCUUUUGUGUGUUUCUUUAUGUUCACAGCCAGAACAGCAGCUCUGACAGCCAUGUAGAAUCCUGCAUUCUGAUUGGUCAGGGGGUGUUGAUUAGUUUUCUAUAACAGCAGCUCUGACAGUAGCACAGCUGUACAUCACAGCUUUAUUUAUAAUUAAUGCGCUCGUUCUAAUACGUUAUCGUUCCGUAAUGGCUCAUUCUCAUGGAUGUGUAGUUGAACACGUACUUGAAAUAAAGUGAUGUUUAAUUAACGUGUAUGGAAGGAGUCUCCAGUGUCAGUGCUGUGUAACAGUCAGAGGCAAAGCUGUAACUUGAAGUUUUCCCACAUCUUCAGGACAGAGGAGUUUACACUUCUUUAACAAGCUGCAAUUUUAUUUUUUUUUGUCUUAUUAACUUUAAAAGACAGAGAAUAAAGAGAAAGAAUAAAGAGAGAGAAUAAAGAGGGAAUAAAGAGAGAGAAUAAAGAGAGGGAUGGGGAAGGAACGAGUGUUUAUAGCUGCUGUAACGUAAAUGAGAACUGGAACUGACUCAUUUCACGGACAUUCCACAACAAUAACUUUAACUAUAAACUGAUAAAAAAAUACAAUGUGUCAUUGAAAAUGUUAUUGUUGUCAAAUUGUCAAACUUUACUUUGUUUUGGUUUAUUCUUUAUGUAACUUAUGAGACAUUAUAAAGCAAAGUAAUAAUGGAGUUAUAACUAGAUGAGAGUGAACAAUUUUAAGACAUUGGACUUCUGAUCAGAAGUUUAUGAGUUCAAAUCCCAGUCGCUGGACCCUUAAUCCUCAUCUUCUCAGUUGUAUAAAUAAGAUAAAUGGAUAAGGCUAUAAAUGUAAAUGUAAAUACUAACACAAACACAUUCCACAGACUUACAUUUGUUUUAUAUUGUUGUACAUACUGUAGAACCUCUAAUGGUUCCUCUCUAGGGACAAACUGAACAACUGAAGAGUGAAUAAACAUGGCAUUACUGUUGUGUUUA